rnacentral:piRNA from 1 species
UCCAAAGAAGGAAUGCGUUUGGGGCUCUAA